GAAGAUCUCGAAACUUCGCAGUGUAUGAUUGAUGAGACUAAGAAACGGAGGGUACUCAAUGCUGUAGACACAUGCUUUUUCGGUGACAACAACAUUUGCAGCAACUACCCUACCGAAGAAAAGCGAUGUUUAAGGGAGGCUAUACAAGGGGACUGUGGCGAGAAUGGUGCUCGGGUCUAUGCCAAUGUAGCAUGGGAAUACCACCGGGGUGUUUUAUAUGCUUUCCUAUGUAACCAGUAACCGUAUCUGUCACAUGUGUUAAAUAGAAGACCACACACAGGAUUCGUAAAAAAAAACAACCUACAAAUUUACAAGGAAUUUACGUUUGUUAAGCUAUAUUUUAACA